rnacentral:tRNA from 1 species
GGCGGGGUGAUUAUCUGUUCGGUUAGGCUCCACCCUGCGGGCUUCCGGGUGGGAGCCACGGACUCAUAAUCCGAGGCGCAGAGUUCGAGUCUCUGGUCCGCCACCA